GGGGGAGUGCUUUAUUCAUUAAUUCAGUUGCCUUUCGCGUUGUAUCAAGCCGUUAAAGGGAAGAGGUUGAUCAAUGGCCAGUUUCUCCUUAUGUUUGAUUUUUACGGAGAUAAGGUGAUAGCGUUUUUCUUGGCAAGUGGAGUUGGCGUGGGAUUUGGUGUGAGUAUUGAACUCAAACUAUUGAUAGACCAAUUACUGGAUGGCUUGGAUGAAAUUGAGGACAAAAGCAAAAGAUUUGUAGAC